rnacentral:rRNA from 1 species
UAGGGAAUCUUCGGCAAUGGGGGGAACCCUGACCGAGCAACGCCGCGUGAGUGAAGAAGGUUUUCGGAUCGUAAAGCUCUGUUGUUAAGGAAGAACGAGUGUGAGAAUGGAAAGUUCAUGCUGUGACGGUACUUAACCAGAAAGGGACGGCUAACUACGUGCCAGCAGCCGCGGUAAUACGUAGGUCCCGAGCGUUGUCCGGAUUUAUUGGGCGUAAAGCGAGCGCAGGCGGUUAGAUAAGUCUGAAGUUAAAGGCAGUGGCUCAACCAUUGUAGGCUUUGGAAACUGUUUAACUUGAGUGCAGAAGGGGAGAGUGGAAUUCCAUGUGUAGCGGUGAAAUGCGUAGAUAUAUGGCGGAACACCGGUGGCGAAAGCGGCUCUCUGGUCUGUAACUGACGCUGAGGCUCGAAAGCGUGGGGAGCGAACAGG